AGUGAUAUUAUACCCCUUUCGUCAAACUGACAGGUCAUUAAUUAUUCAUGAGCUCCGGAAGUCCGGAAGUAAUUACUUCCGGAGCUCCGGAAGUAAUUAAAUUAUUCAUGAGCUCCGGAAGUAGGAAGUAAUUAAGUAAUAAAAAUAUGAUAUUCAUAAAAAUAUGAUAUUCAUAAAAAUAUGAUAUUCAUAAAAAUAUGAUAUUCAUAAAAUUAUGAUAUUCAUAAAAAUAUAAUAUUCAUAAAAUAUAAUUGAUUAUUUAGAAAGUUUCUUAUAUAUCAAAAUAGCAUUCUUUUAUUUCUUUAAGCAAUUAAAUUUUUUUUAAAUUUUUUUAUGCUCAAAAAACGCCAUCUGGUGGCGGGUCUGAGUGUUUGUGUGUGCGCACGCCCGCGCGCUCCCUGAGGCUGUGUGUCUGCGUGUCUCCGGACCGUGCUCUCUCGGGCUCCGUGCUCAUGUGUUUAAAAAUGUAUUAAACCAUAUUAAAAUUGUUUAGUUAAACUUGUGCUUUUGUAACGUUCAGUAUGGCCACAAACACAUGCUGCAUGCAUUGGGGGAAAACUUUAUUUCGAUUUAUAUGCAUUUGUAGAUUUAGAAUAAAACUCAUACUCAGAAAAAACUCGCGAUCCCCUAACCCUAACCCUCCUUAGAAACAUAAGCAGGGAAAACUCCUUAAAAAACCCUCCGCGUUUUCUCCAAAACCCUACAAUAACUUGUUAGGGUACCCCCUCUAUUCCCAAAACCUUAUAUUCGAUAACAGGGGAAAUCCUGAAAAAAUCCUUAGUCUUUUUUCUCAAAUUCAGCGCCCCGCGGCUCCCUUCAUGCUCAGCCAAACAAAGCCAAAACUCCUUUAAAAAAAAUCUCCGCGAUUUCUCCAAAACCUAGAAUAACUUGUUAGCUACCCCUCUAUUCCCAAAAACCUUAUAUUCGAUAACAGGGAAAAUCCUUAGUCUUUUUUCUUCAAAAACUUCCCUCUUACUAGCAAGCUCUAAAAUUCAACCCACACUCUAAGUUCUACCUCGCUCUUAAUCUCCGAUCCACAACUUCUUGCAGAGCACAAUUUUUUCCUGCUUGUUCGCUCCCUGCUCUGCUCCCGAAUGCGCUGCUUACCUCGUUUGAAAAUUCCCCCCUUAGACCAACUCCGCCUCACUGCGCCCCGCUGCCAAUCACAUAACCCUUGCACCGCUCCCUUUGCACUCCGGUUAGCCAAUCCGCUCCAGGUCCGAUUUUUAUGAUCUCCCGCUCAGGUUAAGACUACCCCCGAGCUCCCAGAAGACCCCUGCCUUCAGCCAUAUCAACAACUGGAACCGCUCAGACUGCUUGCGAGUUCGCAUAGGGAGCGGCCGAUUUCAACAGCAACUUGCGUCUCUUUCCUUAUCCGCAUAUCAUUCGACCCAGAUGUGUUAACCUGAUCCCUGCGAAACACCAGCUCUGCGUGGAUUUUGACCGCGAGUGACCGGAUGUUGUUUCCGGCCUGAGGUUGCCUGAAAUGCCGUGAGGCUCGUUUGAAAGAUUGCGCCCGAGACCAACUCCGCCUCCAAGGCAUGCCUACCUUUAGCUGCCACCAGUGAGAUAUCAGAGCCGGGCUCCACAUAUCCAAUCAGGAGCACGAGCAAGACAGCUUUUGCAGACUCUCCAGAAAUAUACAAGUCCUUACCAACUGCUCUGCAACCCAGUGUUUCUGGUCCCCUCACUAACAUCGCUUUUUGAGAUAUUUUUUAUGAACCACCAAAAAAGCAAUUUUACCCCACAGUACAGAAGACUGGGUCUGAGGGCAGCAGCGGGGACAAAUGAUUGUAAUGAAGCGACGGACAUUUCAUGGCUGGUCUUGCAUAAUCGUGAGUUAUUAUGUCAUAUGGUGAUAAGUACAUAGUUUUGCAAGAGGCAUACAAGCACUGUGGAAAAAGUAAUCAUAAAACUGUUUUUGUGAACACCCUACGUCAUGCUUUAAAAAAUGUGAUACAUGUAAUGUGAUCAUCAAAGAACAUGAUUUAAAAAAAAAAAACUUUUAUUCUUAUGCUUUUAAAGUAUGUCAGAUUAUCUUAAAACACUUAUUUGUAUGUUAUAAUGUUUUUCUUACACCAUGUGUAAUUUUUAUAGACACCUUAUUCAUUGUAUCAAUGUGUAAUUAUGUAUCUUUGAUAAAUAAAUAAAAUAUUUAAUCUUG